UAUAUAUUUCCUUCGUCCGAAAUUACUUGUCAUCAAAAUGGAUGAAAAUGAAUGUAUAUAGAACUAAAAUAUAUAUAUAGAUACAUCUAUUUCUUUUUUUUUGCGAUGUAUAGAUACAUCCAUUUCAAUGACAAGUAUUUCCGGACGGAGGGAGUACUUG
rfam:Triticum aestivum genome assembly, contig: Triticum_aestivum_CS42_TGACv1_scaffold_221181_3B